GGCUCGUACAAAGCCGACUGCCCACAAAUCCACCGGUGGUAAAGCACCCAGGAAACAACUGGCUACAAAAGCCGCUCCCAAGAGUGCGCCCUCUACUGGAGGGGUGAAGAAACCUCAUCGUUACAGGCCUGGUACUGUGGCACUCCGUGAAAUCAGACGCUAUGCGAAGUCCACUGAACUUCUGAUCCGUCCCCUUUCAGCGUCUGGUGCCAGAAACUCAGGACUUCAAAACAGAUCUGCGCUUCCAAAGUGCAGCUAUUGGUGCUUUGAAGGAGGCAAGUGAGGCCCAUCUGGUUGGCCUUUUUGAAGAUACCAACCUGUAUGCUAUCCAUGCCAAACGUGAAACAAUUAUGCCAGAAGAUAUCCAGUUAGCACGCCGCAUACACUGAAAACGU
rnacentral:lncRNA from 1 species